UACAGAGGUGGCAAGCGUUGUUCGGAAUUACUGGGCGUAAAGCGUGCGCAGGCGGUUCUGCAAGACAGAUGUGAAAUCCCCGGGCUUAACCUGGGAACCGCAUUUGUGACUGCAUAGCUGGAGUACGGCAGAGGGGGAUGGAAUUCCGCGUGUAGCAGUGAAAUGCGUAGAUAUGCGGAGGAACACCGAUGGCGAAGGCAGUCCCCUGGGCCUGUACUGACGCUCAUGCACGAAAGCGUGGGGAGCAAACAGG
rnacentral:rRNA from 1 species